AUCAGUUAUCUCCUUUCAUCGAACACCACAGACAUGAACACAACACAACUACCCAGAGACCCAUGGGCGACACAGUGACUCUCUACAGGAGUGAGGGAGUGUCAGGAAACUCAAAGGAAGAGGUGCUUUGAAAAACCAGGAGAGGUUACCCAACUGCAGCAUCCUCUGACAGAUUAAGGUAUGCCAGGGGGGUCAGAGGCUAACAUAAGACCACUGUUGCCCUGGAGAGCUUCUCACUCCACUGGAGAAAACUGCAGGAAUUCAGCAGCUAAUAGCAGAAAUGGACUUGAAUCCAAUAAGUGUGGCAGAGUUAAAAGAAUAAUACCCGGGCUUGAAAUGGCUUAGCAUGCCUCUUGGAAAGCCAAGAUGUCAUGCCAACUCUGUUUGCAUUGGGCGAAGGAUUUGAUUCUGGUACCUCAGUGCUAGGUAGCUCAAGAGGCCCUGGGCUGGGCUGGAGAUGGGGAGAAUUCUAUGCGGCUCCUGGAGAUUUCUAGCAACAAUGUGUCAUCCAGAUGCCACAUGAUACAAAGAAGAGACAAAGGUAUCAAAGGCCACCAUUCCAGGAGUUAAGAUAUGAGCAGCAAGACACCAUCCUCUAAGAAUAAGAGAUGUUUGCUGGGUGACCCCUAAAGAGACCAGACUUAGAUGAAGGGUCAACACAUGGAAGCUCCCUAAGGAAGUCAGCUUACUGCAUACGCCCUACGUAUCCCUCUUUCUCCCUAUGUGACAAGACCUCAGAGGGCUCCCUACGACCCUUCUCCAGUGUGCUCUGUAGACUAUGGAAGACGAUCCAUGGAAAAGCAGCAAGCAGCUGAAAGCAAUAAACCAACUGCCACAGCUGGGCUAGGUUUGGAUGUUCUCAAAGUCCCCUGACUCUUUCACUUACUGAGAACUAGAAAUCAGGAUAAGUGAAGAUUUGGCCUCAGCAGAGACUGAAAUGAGGUGUUCCACAUGUGCCUGCUGUUGUGGUUUUGACUGGAAGGAAGAGGAGCAUGGGCAAAGAGGAGAGAACCAAGGAAACUCAAGAUGAACCCUGGAAUUCCCCUCAGAGAGGGGAAGAUGCUGUGCAAUGAUUCUCUAACUGCAUAAGGAAAGAGGGUUCCAGAGGAUCCUGAAAACUCAAGAAGAGUAACAACUCACCAAACAAGAUCCAAGUAAGGGGGAAGAAACUCAGGACUGCAAAACACCUGGAGGGAGAGAGGAAACACCCUCAAGGAUGGGCACUGCACAGACUGUAACAACAAGGAACGUGGCUUUGCAUCCUCCCAGCAACAAAGUCUACCACGGAUCCCACCCCACUCUGAUUUCGGCUCAGCCGAGAACUUGAAAUAACGGGCCCACUGCCUCUGGUCCACGAGGAUCCAUGCCAUCAUGGCACUUUGGGAGGCCUGUCACGAGUUACACAGGCCUAGGCUGCCCACACCCCAGCUCAGCAGAAAAAGAGAACUGCAAUCCAAGUCAGACAGAUCCUGCCUGGACUCUCCGCAGAGAGCCUGGAGAGUCUGACCAGCAAAGAAACAGCAAUCUUCCUACCUACCCCACUCUCAAUCCCCCCCACCCCAAUCCAGGCUCCCGAAGAAGAAAAACAAACAACAACAGAGCAGGCAAUUGCACAAGAGCUGCAGAGUGAAGGCGAGGUGGACGGCAACGGCUUCUCGGCUGUGCCCCGUAUCUCUUCCCAGAACACUGAUGACAAAGCUGGAGACGUUACUCACAUGCUGAGCCAGUCAGCCCCUCACCCAGGGCUGGUGCUGAGAAGUCUGACUAGAAACCGGCAGUCAACGCUGACACACUCAUUUAUAAUAAAAGGUGUAUAUUAA
rnacentral:lncRNA from 1 species